rnacentral:rRNA from 1 species
ACACUUUACAAUGCGGGAAACCGCGAUAAGGGAACCCCGAGUGCCAGCAUCAAAUGUUGGCUGUCCAGAUGAUUAAAAAUCAUUUGUUAGCAAGGGCCGGGCAAGACCGGUGCCAGCCGCCGCGGUAACACCGGCGGCCCGAGUGGUAGCCGUUUUUAUUGGGUCUAAAGGGUCCGUAGCCGGCCUGAUAAGUCCUUUGGGAAAUCUGGCAGCUUAACUGUCAGGCUUCUAAGGGAUACUGUCAGGCUUGGGACCGGAAGAGGUAAGGGGUACUCCAGGGGUAGGAGUGAAAUCUUGUAAUACCCUGGGGGACCAUCUGUGGCGAAGGCGCCUUACCAGAACGGGUCCGACGGUGAGGGACGAAAGCUAAGGGGAGCAAACCGGAUUAGAUACCCGGGUAGUCCUAGCUGUAAACGAUGCUCGCUAGGUGUCAGACACGGUGCGACCGUGUUUGGUGCCGCAGGGAAGCCGUUAAGCGAGCCACCUGGAAGUACGUCGCAAGGC